rnacentral:rRNA from 1 species
GAUGAACGCUGGCGGCGUGCUUAACACAUGCCAGUCGAACGAUGAAGCCCAGCUUGCUGGGUGGAUUAGUGGCGAACGGGUGAGUAACACGUGAGUAACCUGCCCUUAACUCUGGGAUAAGCCUGGGAAACUGGGUCUAAUACCGGAUAGGAGCGCCUACCGCAUGGUGGGUGUUGGAAAGAUUUAUCGGUUUUGGAUGGACUCGCGGCCUAUCAGCUUGUUGGUGAGGUAAUGGCUCACCAAGGCGACGACGGGUAGCCGGCCUGAGAGGGUGACCGGCCACACUGGGACUGAGACACGGCCCAGACUCCUACGGGAGGCAGCAGUGGGGAAUAUUGCACAAUGGGCGCAAGCCUGAUGCAGCGACGCCGCGUGAGGGAUGACGGCCUUCGGGUUGUAAACCUCUUUCAGUAGGGAAGAAGCGAAAGUGACGGUACCUGCAGAAGAAGCACCGGCUAACUACGUG